rnacentral:rRNA from 1 species
GUCUACGGCCAUACCACCUGAACGCGCCCGAUCUCGUCUGAUCGCGGAAGCUAAGCAGGGUCGGGCCCCGGUUAGUACUUGGAUGGGAGACCGCCUGGGAAUACCGGGUGCUGUAGGCU